rnacentral:lncRNA from 1 species
AUUUUAUUUUAUUUUAUUUUUUUAUUUAUGAUAGUCACAGAGAGAGAGAGAGAGAGACAGAGAGAGACAGAGAGAGAGGCAGAGACAUAGGCAGAGGGAGAAGCAGGCUCCAUGCACCAGGAGCCUGAUGUGGGAUUCGAUCCCGGGUCUCCAGGAUCGCGCCCUGGGCCAAAGGCAGGCGCCAAACCGCUGCGCCACCCAGGGAUCCCACACAAUUAUUUUAAUCAAUAAUCAGCUUAGUCAUUCAGGACCUUACCCCUUAUUUCCUUACACGUGCCUCAUUUAUCUUCCUAUUAUUGCUCAUUUCUCUAAUCCUUACUAUCUCCAUUUGAAUAUGUUACAUGAGGAAAAGUCUGAAAUCCAAGCCAGUCAAAUACUACUCUGCUCUUGUAAAUGUUUGAAGAUCUGGAAUGAUCUAGGAAUAAUUUCUACUCUACACUAUCACUUUUCCCACCAUAUAAAUUAUAGCUUUGUAUUCUGUCUUUAACAAUAGGUCAAUCGAAUCCAAUUAAGGUUAGGUGCCUGAGGUUUUGUGACCAAGGCCAUACACAUCAUCAGUGGCACCAAAUAAAAAUAAAAAUCCCAAUGUGUCAAGUAUGCUAUUUAUUCCACACUACUUAUUCUAAAUAUAUUCCUAUUCCUUUAUAGGAAAUCUUUAUUUUGCUAAGGGAUAAAAAGCAAUCCUAUCAUUUUUGCCCAAGUGUACUGAAUUCAAAUUUGAGGGUUAUCUUGAUGAUAAGGACAAAGUUAAUACCAUAUUUAUAGUAAUACUUCCAAAAUUAUUUUUUAAAAACUCAGGUUACUCUUUGAAUAUAAGAUUUUCAAUGUACAGUUCAUUCAUUAUACAUUCAUCAAACUUCACACCUCCAAGAAAACCUUUCAGCUAAUCUUGGUAAAGAUAUUAAAUUUGGUAGUGCUUGUACUAAAACAUAAUCACAGACUUCAUAUCCUAAAGUAAUUCCCAACUCUCUAUAUUAUUAAUAUCCUUAAGUAAUUCUCAAGUCCAAAUAGACACUAUUUCUUAAACAUUUAAGUUAUGGUCUACUAUCUACUUUUGUCCCAUUAGCCUUAUAAUUCCUAGCUCUAGGACUCUGUAACUUAAGAGUUAGUUGACUGCAUGUAGACCAUAACUCUGCCUUCUAACUUAAGUGGGCAUAUUUAUUUCCCUUGGUUCCAUUCAUCCUUCACUCAUAUUUAUCCUUUCUUUGUACACCUCUUCUUAGUAUCGCAACAGUCUAAUGAGUGCCGAAAAGAGCAACUGAAAGAAAAGCCAGGUUAUAAAUCCAUUUACCAACCAGAUAUACUAUAUAGAUAAACUAUGUUAAAUAUAUAUAUGGGAUAUACUUCACAAUUCCUUUUCUGAUUCUUCUACUAACUCACAAAAAAAAAAAAACAAAAAAACAAAUGCAGAAUACAUUUAAGGGUAUUAAGAGAUGAUGAACACUACUCUAAAUUGCAAAGGAAGGGCUAAAAUUUCUUGCAUUCAAGUCAAAUAAUUUUAAUGAAAAUUGAGAAUUGAGUACCAACGCUGCCUCCUCCACAUCUCUGUCCACAUAAUCUACACAGACUCUAUAUUACACGAAAGCAAAAAAAAGUAAGCAAAUGUCUAAUAUAAAAAUUUGGCGUUUUUAAACAUUCAGUUAAUUUACUGAGUGACUGACGUGAAGCAACAUUACCAUCACCCAAGAAGAUAGCCUACUAAAUCUUAACUAUAUGCUUACGAUCAGCAGAAAACAAGACAAAAAUGUUAAAAUAGUCAAAGAUUUGUAUGUGUGUAUUUCAAAAGAACAGCUUCCUAUUAUCA